rnacentral:rRNA from 1 species
GACGAACGCUGGCGGCGUGCCUAAUACAUGCAAGUCGAACGGUCUUUUCUAUGGAAGCUUGCUUCCGCUGAGAAGAUAGUGGCGAACGGGUGAGUAACACGUGGGUAACCUGCCCAUAAGAGGGGGAUAACAUCCGGAAACGGGUGCUAAUACCGCAUAGGUUUCUUGGUCGCAUGAUCGAGAAAGGAAAGACGGCCUUUGUGCUGUCACUUAUGGAUGGACCCGCGGCGUAUUAGUUAGUUGGUGCGGUAACGGCUCACCAAGACGAUGAUACGUAGCCGACCUGAGAGGGGGAUCGGCCACAUUGGGACUGAGACACGGACCAAACUCCUACGGGAGGCAGCAGUAGGGAAUCUUCCGCAAUGGACGAAAGUCUGACGGAGCAACGCCGCGUGAGUGAAGAAGGUUUUCGGAUCGUAAAACUCUGUUGUCAGAGAAGAACAAGUCGGAGAGUAACUGCUCCGGCCUUGACGGUAUCUGACCAGAAAGCCACGGCUAACUACGUGCCAGCCGCCGCAGUAAUAC